ACCCUCCAGAUUCCUUACCCAUCAGUCGUACAUAUUGAUCUGAGUGGUUAUAAAAUGAGGAAAAGUAACACUAAAAUGGACUUGGAUUCUUCAGUGACAUGUAAGUUUAUUUAGACCCAC
rnacentral:snoRNA from 1 species